rnacentral:lncRNA from 1 species
UUUUCCUCCCGUUGCUCCCGCUGCUGGUUCCCGCAGGUACCGCCCUUUGGGGCAAAAACCCCACUUCCUCCUUCCUCUUCCUCCUUCUUCCACCCCUCUCUUCCUCUUCCUUCCUCCAACCUCUUCCUCUCCAACCUCUUCUCCCCCAGCCCUUCUUCUUCCCCAUCUCUUCUUCUUCCUCCCCAGUCCUUCAUCCUCCUCUUUCCUUCCUCCCCACCUCUUCCUCUUCCUCCUCCUCCCCACCUCUUCCUCUUCUUCCUUAUCUCUCCCUCCUCUUCCUUCCCCCCUCUCCCUCCUCUUCCUCCCCAGCCAUCCCUCCUCUUCCUCCUCCACUGUCUUCUCCUUCUUCCACCUUCCUCCCCAUCCCUUCCUCCUCUUCCUCCUCUUUCCUUUCUCCCCACCUCUUCCUCCCCCUCCUCUUUCUCCCCAUCUCUUGUCUUCCUCCUCUUCCUCCCCAUCUCUCCCUCGUCUUCCUCCCCAGCCAUCCCUCCUCUUCCUCCUCCACUGUCUUCUCCUUCUUCCACCUUCCUCCCCAUCCCUUCCUCCUCUUUCCUUUCUCCCCACCUCUUCCUCCCCCUCCUCUUUCUCCCCAUCUCUUGUCUUCCUCCUCUUCCUCCUUCCUCCUCCACAUUUCUUCCUCCUCCUCCCAUCUCCACCUUCCACUUUCUUCUUCCUCCCACUUCCACUUUCUUCCUCUUUCUCCCCACCUCUUUCUCUUCCUUCCCUUACUCUUUCUCCACCUUCCUCCUCAGCCCUUCCUCCUUCUCCUCCUCUUCCUCUCCAUCUCUUCCUCCUCCAACUCCUCCUCUCCCUCCUUCUCCUCCUUCCUUUCCCACCUCUUCCUUCUUCUCCACCUCCCACCCCACCUCUUCCUUUUCCUCCCCAGCGCUGCCCCCUGUCCCCCCAGCCCCGUCUCUGGGGGUGACCCCGCAGAAGCUCCAGUACCUCAUCGGCGACACGGUGUUCCUGCACUGCGCAGCCCCCCCUAGCACUCCCCAAGUGCAAGGAUUCCAGUUCUUGGGGGCAGGGGGGUGGGCCCUGGAGGUGCGGACCCGCCAGAGGAGCCAUGUCCAGACCUUUGACAUCAGGGGCCCAGGGGAUGGGGGGCGCCUCAGCUGCACCUACACCGUCCCUCACCCCGACGGAUCCCGGCGGCCUCUCCGCUCCCAGGAGAGUCCUGGCGUCUUCAUCAGCAUCAGAGACCGCCCGCCUGCCCCCACCCUGACCUUGACCCCUGGGGGAGGGGUCACCAUUGAAGGUCAGACCCUCCUCUUCCUUUGCGCGGCCCCGGCUGAAGUCCUCCCCCGCUGCUUCCGAUUCUUCAAGGAGAAGGAAGAGGUCAAGGACGAAGUCAACGAAGUCAAUGAGGUCAAGGUCAUAAGGGGGGUGGCCACUGCCCAUCUCCCUCUGGUGGCCACUGGCCACAACAUCACCGGCAAUUUCAGCUGUGGCUACGAGGAGGAGGUAGAGGGUCGCCGGAUCCUGUCCCACCUCAGCCCCCACCUCCAGGUGGUGGUCAAAGAGCCUCCUCUGCCGCCCACGUUGGGGGUGGACCCCCCCGGUGGGGUGGUGGGUGAAGGCCACCCCCUGCGUGUCACCUGCAAAGCCACCAGAGAGGACUUUCCCCUGAGGUUCCACUUCUCCAGGAACGGGACAGAGCUUCAGGGGUGGAAACCACAAAAUCUGGGGAUUUUGGCACAAAUUUUCAUCCCCCAAACUCCCACAAGCCUUGAGGGAACUUGGAGGUGUCAUGUGGAAGAGGACAUGGGGGGGAUGUGGGUGACAUCACCCCCCAGUGAACCCCUGGAGGUCACCAUCAAAGCUACCCCUUCCCAGCCCGCCUUGCUCCUGGACCCACCCACCGCAGAGGUCCCACCUGAUGCCCCCCUGCUGCUCACCUGCAUGGCCCAAGGUUCCACCACCCUCCGCAACUUUUCCUUCUACCAAGAUGGCGCCCAGCUCUUCUCGGUGACCACCAGCAGGGACCGGGCCACCUUCACCCUCCCCGUGGUAGCCAAUGCUACCCCAGCCACUGGCUUCAUCUUCUCCUGCCGCUACCAUGAGAAGAUCAAUGAUUGGUGGAUCUCCUCUCCCUUCAGCCAACCCGUGACGGUCACCACCCGAGUUCCCUCCCAGUUCAUCCCAUUGGUGGUCAGUUGUGUCGCUGGUGGUGCCACCCUAUUCGUCGUGGGGCUUCUAUUGGCCAUUUGGCUUUGCCGGAGGCGGAGAGGCCGUGUCCACUGGAGCGGCCUCCGCAACCGGGAUGACCCCAGCACCAUUCCCAUGGCCAACGUCGGCCCCUGUUGAUCCCCGUGAAGGUGACCCCCAACCUCUGCCAUGACAGUUGGGGGCAGAGAACACGCUGUCCCCUCGGCUUCGUAGCUCCCCCCCUCAGUGCACCCCCAUGUAAGGUCCCAGUUCUCAUGUCCAGUUUCUCACCCUGCUCAAUAAACAUCUCAAACCCUCUUCCCGCCUCUUCUUC